CCACAGCCAAUCAGAUCCCUCCUUCCAACAUGCAAAAAAACCUGAAGUUGUUGUCCUAUUUCCUCGACUGGUAACGUCUGAGUGCGCCAUGGAAGCUCUGGAGGCCAUGGAGAGCUCGUCGGUGUACAUGUGCUUCCCGUGCUACCAGGAGUUCAACACCCUGGAAGAAGUGCUUCAGCACCAGUUGACAUGCACUGCUGAGGAUGAGCAUCAGGAAACAUCUGCGACCACUCCUAUCACUGUUCCCCUGCUGCAGAACCAGUGUUCCCAUGGCAGCCUCUGAAAGCCCUUCAGGGGUAAAAACAGCCAUCGGCUCUCGUUGGUCUCCAACACGUGUCCAUAAAGCACGGUGACACGCAUGACCGACAAAUUGCUGCCUGAGUUGCCGACGGGAAGAAGAGCUUGAGAAAAACAUCAGUCAAUGCCCGCCUUCCCCCUGAUGAACACUCAUU